rfam:Hordeum vulgare subsp. vulgare, WGS project CAJW01000000 data, contig: morex_contig_137222
UAAGUACUCCUUUCAUCUUAGAAUUCUUGUCUUAAAUUUGUAUAGAAAUGAAUGUAUCCAAGUACUAAAACAUGACUAGAUACAUUCAUAUCUAGACAAAUCAAAGAUAAGAAUUUUAAGACGGAGAGAAUAUAUC